rnacentral:SRP_RNA from 1 species
UCUUUAGACCUUUGCAAUCAUCAUUUAAGACAAUGCCCCAGGGUGGGAACACAGCAAGGCACCUUACUUGAUGGUGUGUUUGGGUAUCUGGAGAAGA